rnacentral:rRNA from 1 species
GGAUGAACGCUGGCGGCGUGCUUAACACAUGCAAGUCGAACGGAAAGGCCACAGCUUGCUGUGGUACUCGAGUGGCGAACGGGUGAGUAACACGUGGGUGAUCUGCCCUGUACUUCGGGAUAAGCUUGGGAAACUGGGUCUAAUACCGGAUAGGAAUCACAUGUGGGUGUGUGGUUGGAAAGCUUUUGCGGUAUGGGAUGAGCUCGCGGCCUAUCAGCUUGUUGGUGGGGUAAUGGCCUACCAAGGCGUCGACGGGUAGCCGGCCUGAGAGGGUGUACGGCCACAUUGGGACUGAGAUACGGCCCAGACUCCUACGGGAGGCAGCAGUGGGGAAUAUUGCACAAUGGGCGCAAGCCUGAUGCAGCGACGCCGCGUGGGGGAUGACGGCCUUCGGGUUGUAAACUCCUUUCGUCAGGGACGAAGCGAAAGUGACGGUACCUGGAUAAGAAGCACCGGCUAACUACGUG